UGUACCUACGGGAGGCAGCAGUAGGGAAUCUUCGGCAAUGGGGGCAACCCUGACCGAGCAACGCCGCGUGAGUGAGGAAGGUUUUCGGAUCGUAAAGCUCUGUUGUAAGAGAAGAACGUGUGUGAGAGUGGAAAGUUCACACAGUGACGGUAACUUACCAGAAAGGGACGGCUAACUACGUGCCAGCAGCCGCGGUAAUACGUAGGUCCCGAGCGUUAUCCGGAUUUAUUGGGCGUAAAGCGAGCGCAGGCGUUUGGAUAAGUCUGAAGAUAAAGGCUUUGGCUUAACCCUAGCAUGCUUUGGAA
rnacentral:rRNA from 1 species